rnacentral:rRNA from 1 species
UACGUAGGAUGCAAGCGUUGUCCGGAUUUACUGGGCGUAAAGCGCGCGCAGGCGGCAAGGUAAGUAAGGUGUGAAAUCUGUCGGCUCAACCGGGAGGGUGCACUUUAGACUGCUUUGCUUGAGGUCGGUAGAGGGGGGGGGUGGAAUUGCUGGUGUAGCGGUGAAAUGCGUAGAGAUCAGCAGGAACACCCGUGGCGAAGGCGGCCCCCUGGGCCGUACCUGACGCUGAGGCGCGAAGGCUAGGGGAGCGAACGGG